rnacentral:rRNA from 1 species
AACGAACGCUGGCGGCAGGCUUAACACAUGCAAGUCGAACGGCAGCACGGGAGCAAUCCUGGUGGCGAGUGGCGAACGGGUGAGUAAUAUAUCGGAACGUGCCCAGUCGUGGGGGAUAACGUAGCGAAAGCUAUGCUAAUACCGCAUACGAUCUACGGAUGAAAGCGGGGGAUCGCAAGACCUCGCGCGAUUGGAGCGGCCGAUAUCAGAUUAGCUAGUUGGUGGGGUAAAGGCCCACCAAGGCGACGAUCUGUAGCUGGUCUGAGAGGACGACCAGCCACACUGGAACUGAGACACGGUCCAGACUCCUACGGGAGGCAGCAGUGGGGAAUUUUGGACAAUGGGCGCAAGCCUGAUCCAGCAAUGCCGCGUGCAGGAUGAAGGCCUUCGGGUUGUAAACUGCUUUUGUACGGAACGAAACGGCUCUUUCUAAUAAAGAGGGCUAAUGACGGUACCGUAAGAAUAAGCACCGGCUAACUACGUGCCAGCCGCCGCCGUAAAAC